GAUGAACGCUGGCGGCGUGCCUAAUACAUGCAAGUCGAGCGAACGGACGAGAAGCUUGCUCUUCUGAUGUUAGCGGCGGACGGGUGAGUAACACGUGGAUAACCUACCUAUAAGACUGGGAUAACUUCGGGAAACCGGAGCUAAUACCGGAUAAUAUUUUGAACCGCAUGGUUCAAAAGUGAAAGACGGUCUUGCUGUCACUUAUAGAUGGAUCCGCGCUGCAUUAGCUAGUUGGUAAGGUAACGGCUUACCAAGGCAACGAUGCAUAGCCGACCUGAGAGGGUGAUCGGCCACACUGGAACUGAGACACGGUCCAGACUCCUACGGGAGGCAGCAGUAGGGAAUCUUCCGCAAUGGGCGAAAGCCUGACGGAGCAACGCCGCGUGAGUGAUGAAGGUCUUCGGAUCGUAAAACUCUGUUAUUAGGGAAGAACAUAUGUGUAAGUAACUGUGCACAUCUUGACGGUACCUAAUCAGAAAGCCACGGCUAACUACGUG
rnacentral:rRNA from 1 species